rnacentral:rRNA from 1 species
AGAGUUUGAUCAUGGCUCAGAACGAACGCUGGCGGCGUGGAUAAGACAUGCAAGUCGGACGAGAUUUUCUGUUGUAGCAAUACGAUGGAAAGUCUAGUGGCGAACGGGUGCUUAACACGUGGGCAACCUGCCGGGAAGUGGGGGAUAGCUCGCCGAAAGGCGAAUUAAUACCGCAUGUGAUUAGAGAGGACAUCCUUUCGAAAUUAAAGUCGGGGCAACCUGACGCUUCUUGUGGGGCCCGCGGCCUAUCAGCUAGUUGGGGAGGUAACGGCUCACCAAGGCUUUGACGGGUAGCUGGUCUGAGAGGACGACCAGCCACACUGGGACUGAGACACGGCCCAGACACCUACGGGUGGCAGCAGUCGAGAAUUUUUGACAAUGGGGGAAACCCUGAUCGAGCGACGCCGCGUGGAGGAUGAAGGUCUUCGGAUUGUAAACUCCUGUCAUUGGGGAACAAUGCGCAAAUAUUAACUGUAUUUGUGUUGAUAGUACCCGAAGAGGAAGAGACGGCUAACUCUGUGCCAGCAGCCGCGGUAAUACAGAGGUCUCAAGCGUUGUUCGGAUUCAUUGGGCGUAAAGGGUGCGUAGGCGGCGCGGUAAGUCGGGUGUGAAAUCUCGGAGCUUAACUCCGAAACUGCAUUCGAUACUGCCGUGCUUGAGGACUGGAGAGGAGACUGGAAUUUACGGUGUAGCGGUGAAAUGCGUAGAUAUCGUAAGGAAGACCAGUGGCGAAGGCGGGUCUCUGGACAGUUCCUGACGCUGAGGCACGAAGGUCAGGGGAGCAAACGGGAUUAGAUACCCCGGUAGUCCUGACAGUAAACGGUGCACGUUUGGUGUGGGAGGAUUCGACCCCUUCUGCGCCGGAGCUAACGCGUUAAACGUGCCGCCUGGGGAGUACGGUCGCAAGAUUAAAACUCAAAGAAAUUGACGGGGGCCCGCACAAGCGUG